UAAAUUAUCGAUUAAAUUAAUAAACUAACCGCAAUCCCUUCUAUUCCAACAACUUUAUUUUAUCCACGGUUAUUUCCCUAAAGUUCGACCACCGGCUUUUUGGGUACCACAGAUUCGGCCUUUUUUAACUUCCUAUUUUCCAGGGCGAUAAUACUAAUCCGUUCCAAUAAGUCCUAUAUUUCCGUGGCGCGAUUACUAAUUAACCUCCCGUAUUACCUUAUCCCUAUUUCUUUCAAUUGUUAAAUAAUGGUUACCAUUUUGUGAAAAUCCUCCUUAAUUAUAUAAUAUUAAUUUGCCGAUUUAUUAUCAAUAUGAUUAUUUCCAACAAACCUAUUAUAUUUAAUAUAACUUAAUAUAUAGUAAUAUCUUGGUAAAAGAACAGCUAAAUUUCACCAAUUAAUUUAUUUUGUAAAGCAAAACUAUAUAUUUUGCCUUCUUAGAAUAUACGGGAAAAAUCAAAUAACCCCAAAUCGUAAAAAACCAAGUAUAUAUAUAUAUAUAUAUUCGACCAAGUUAUUUAUUUUAAAUUGUUAUUCUAUUUUAAAUACAAAAACCAAAUCCGCCCGCGAAGAUAAUUAUAAUUACUAUAAUAUAUAUUUAUAUGAAUUUAGGGUUUUAUCUGCUUUAUUUCCGGGAAUAUAAUUAUAUUAAACGCUAAAAGCUAUAUAAAAUAGGUUUAUAUUUCCGAAUAAUUAAACAUUUAAAAUAUUUGCUUAAUAAUAGUAAUAUUUCUUUAAUAUUAAUAAUAGUAAUUUAGUUUGCUUAUUUAACUGGCGUUUUUAUUUCGUUUUAUAUAAAUGAUAGAUUUGCUAUUUAUGGAAGAAACCGCCGUCUAAAUAAUGGGCGUUACUUUUUAAAAAACAUAGCGGAUAAUCGCGAAUUUGAAAAAAAAUGCAAACGUUAUAAACGGGAAUUCCAAUAAUAUUAAUUAUCGCGGAUAUAUUAUAAAUAGCGGCGCCGUCGAAACGUAAACCGUUUCGAAACCCGUUAUUAUACGACGACGUUCCGGUUUUGCCUAUAAUUUUAUAAUACGUUAUAAAAUAUAAAUUCCGUCGCGACGUGGAUUUUAUAAAUAAUUCCCGCGAAAAAUUUAAAUAUUUAUAAACGGGAUUUAACGCGCCCGUUUCAAAAAUAGUCCGUUUUUAUUACGAAAUAGGCGGUAAAAACGGCGCUUACCGCUAUACCGAUUUUUUAAAUUAGUUAGAACGUAUAUAUAAUAAUUUUUAUAAACGGUUACAAAUUUUAACCAAAUUUUAAACGUUGAAAAUUAGAUUAUAUUAAUUAUUCGUCUAAUUAAUUGCGGUUUUAAAAAGAAAACCCUGGUUACAGUGGGAAAUUUGACUUGGACGGACGAUAUUCGUAUUAACCUUUUAUAUUUCCGCAUAUUUUUUAUAGUCCAGAAAAUAUAUAUUAAAUAAGAUACCGGAAAUAAUAUUUAUAUAAAAAUAAUAGUUAUUUACCCCCAAAUUAUUUCAAGUUUUGAAAUAUUCAAAUUAAAUAAACGUUUUGGCUUUUACCGCGCGAGUACCGUCCCGGUUUCCAAAUUGGUAAAAAACGAAAUUAUAUUUAUAAUUGGCGUAAUCGCGAUAAAAUCCAAAUUUAAUAAAAAAACAAAAAAACGUCGUAAAUUUAAUUAAAUCCAAUUUUCGGAUUUUAAUAAGAAAAAUACGCGUCCACACGUUAUAUAAAUUUUCAACGAUAAAUAUUAGCCAAAACGCGAAGUAAAAAUAUAUUUGCGUUACGGUAGUUUAAUUUACCAAAUAACGGAUUAUAUAUAUAGCAACGCUAUAUUUACUUAUAAUAAUAUCCGCAAAUAUAACGGAAACCCCCGGGGAAACAAAAGAAAAUUUAAAUAUAAAGUUUAAUCGAAAAUAAAAACCGCAAAACCCAAUUAAAAUAAAACGGGUAAAAACCCAGGAAAUAAAUAUAAUAAUAUUGGCUUAAACUAACUUUUUAUAACCGUAACGCCGUUUUUGAUUUUUAUUUUAUUAAAUAAUUUGAAAUUUAUUAAUUUAUAAAUUAAUAUAAAUUGCAAAUAUUAUGCGGUAAUAAAUAAAAAAUAUACAGCCCGGAUAAAAAAUCGGAAACAUAUUUUUACCCCGUAUGCGCAAAUUGGAUACGGCGGUAAAAAGCGCCCACCCAAUAAUUAAAAAAUUGGCCAAAUGCAAAGUAAAUGUUAAUAAUUAAAAAACGCCGAUGUUUUAUUAAAUUAUAUCCGAAUUGGCCCGUAAUAUAAUAAUAAAUUUAUUUUAAAUAAUUUACCAGCGGAUAUCAUUCGACGCGGCGCGGAAAUUCUUAAUUAUAAAUAUAUGAAAAAUAUAUUAAUAAAUAAAUUAUUUAUACGCUUUAGUUUAAAUUAAACUUAUAAUAAGAAUUAAUAACGUUUUCAACCCUAUAUUAGCGGGUAAAAGGGCGCGACGGCGGACAAAUAAAAUUCGCGCUAAUAUUUUUCCGGCAAAUAACAAAUGUUUUACAAAUAGCGGUUACGUAUAAACAAACGCCGCUACAAAUAAUAUUUCCCCCGAAUUGGGGAAAUUUGCAGAAUUAUUUAAUAAAACAAAAACGUCCGAAGUAUUAUUAUACCGCAACUAUUUCGAAUAUUAUAUUUAUUUGCAAAAAAACAAAUCCGGGAAAAUUCCGGUCUUUUUGUAAAACCGUAUUUAUUAUAUAUCACCAAAAGGAAUGCUGAAAUUAUAAUAUUAAAUAAGAAAUAUAAUGGAUAAAAUAAAUUAAAAUUCAAUUUGUCGUCGGUAAUAAUUCCAAUUUUAAUAAUGCGUGAAACGUUAAAAAAUUAAAACUUAUAUGCGGACUAUAGAACUUAAAAUAAUAUUAUUAUAUAGGACGUAUAUUUUUUACCCUUAAUUAAGAAAAAAGUUUGUUUUUUUAAAAAGGGGGCAGUGGUUUAUUAAGACAGACGUUCGCGCAGCGUUUUAUAAACUACGGAUUACAAAAAAUGAUAAAUAUUUUACGGCGUUUGAAAUUCGUUUUGGAUUAUUUAAAUAAUUGAUAUAUUUAUUCGAAUUUGCCAUGGCGUUUGCAGUUUUCCAACAUUAUAUUAAUAAUAUAUCAAACGAUAUAUUAAAGAAUUAUAUAUUAGUUUAUUUGGACGAUAUUUUUAUUUAUUUUCCAAACUUAAAUCCAAUUAUUUAUUGAAAACAACCGGGGCAUUAAAUGAAUCAAGUACGGCGGGAUUUAAUUUAAAUUUCGAAAGAAACGCGUUUGCAAUAAAACAAAUUAAAUAUUUGGGAUUUAUUAUCAAAACGGGGAAAAUAUCGAAACCGAUCCCAAAAAAAGAAAUAAUCAGGAAUUGGUAAAUUCCGAAAAACUUACGAAAAUAUUAUAAUUUUUUCAGGCUCGCGAAUUUUUACCGUAAUGUUAUAAGCAAUUAUUUAAUAUUAACAGUUUUGUUAUUAAUAUUUAUAGAACAAAAUUUCGUUUUGGUGGAUAAAAAAAUUCGAGAAAACUUUCUAAACGUUAAAACGCAUAUUUCUUUAAACGUUAAUAUUUACCUAGUAUAAUAACACAAAAAAUACCAAAUUAAAAAUAAAUUAUUUAAGUGCGGCGUUGGGGGGUUAUUACCCCCAAAAGACGGACAGGUUAUAACAACAGGUCGCGUUCUAUUCGGUUAAACUAACUAACGUCCAGAAUAAUAAUAUUAUUUCUAAUAAAGAACUUUUUAAAAUAAUAAUAUAUUUUAAAAUAUAAAACGCGGAACUCCGCAACGUCCGCCAUUCUUUUUAUAAUUUUAACAAACUAUAAAACGUUAAAAUGCUUUUCGAAAUUUAAAAAGGUUUCGGCAAAAUAAAUACUUUAAGCGGAAAUAUUUUCGAAAUUUAAUUAUAAUCUGCGUUUCCGUCCAGGACAAUUAGCGGGGGUUAAUAACGCGUUAUUUAAAAAAGAUAAAACAAAUAUAAUAUUAAUAUUAUAAUUAAUAACCGUAUUGCGCCCAGCCGUAUUAUAAAUAAAUUUAACGCCGGCGAAUAUUAUACCCCCCGCGGCCGUCGCGAUUUCCCCCAAAUAUAUAUGGUCCGGUUUUGGAACAAAUUAUUAGCGAAAAACGCUUUAUAUUAAAUACGUUUAAACGCAAUAUAAAAAAUAAUUAUAAUUACAAGAUUGGGAGUUAUUAACCACGGUAAUAUUAUAGCAAAUGUAUAAAUUACUAAUAAUUAACCAUUCCGUUAAAAAUAAUAUACUGGUUAUAUUGGUAAAGAAGUAUUAUCAAAAUGGUAUAACGAAAUAUAUAAAACGUUUUGUACGCAAUUGUAAUAUAUAUUGGCAAUUAGAAUUCUUACGCCGGGUGCGUUUAAAAAGAAAUCUAAUUAUUAUUUAUACCGGAUAGACUUUAAACACAAAUUUCAAUUAAUUUUAAAAUUAAUCAAUCCGGAAUCGACAAAGAUUCUUCGAUAUUUGAUAAUUAUUACAAAUGAUUUUUGUUAAAUAUAUAUAAUUAGAAACGAUAUAUUUAAUAGAAGCGGAUAAUUACCCGUCGCGGUUGCUUUUUUUUAAUAAUAAUUCCGGGGGUUCCCCAGUUAAAAUAUCUUCGAUAAAACUUCUAAUUGGGUAGAAAGCUUUUGGACGGAAUUAUAUAAAUAAACGGGGGUAAAAUAAUUAUUUUCCAUUUCUUACCAUAUUAGAACCGACGGGGGGACGGAACAAGUUAAUUAAAAGAUUUAAUAAUAUUUAAAAAUUUAUAUAAGUUUUUAUUAAAAAAGAAUUGGUUUGACCAUUUGGGAACCGUAUAAUUAAUUUUUAAUAACCGAAAUUUGUUUAUAACGGAAAUAAAUUUGAAUAAAUUAUUAUUGGGAUUUAAUAUUAAACCAGUGCCAAAUAUUGCCAUUUUUUCCAAAACCCCAGCCUCGAACCCGAAAAUUAAAACCAUGCAAUUUUUAAAAUAUUUACAGGAAAAUUCCAAAUUGGUCCAAAUUGUUAUCGCGUAUAUUUAAUAACGUUAGAAGCCCGGGGCAAAUAAAUUCCGAUAUUUAACCGAACAUUUCCAAAUCGGGGACGAAUAUUUUUUAAUUUACAAAAUAUAUAUAUAAACCGUCCGUAUGAAAAUUUCGAUUAAAUUUACGGAGAAUAUUAAAUAAUGACGGUACGAAUCCCAUUUAUACUUAUAUUUAACAUUUCACGGGGAAUUUAUUUGAUUUUCUCUAUAAAAUU
rnacentral:sRNA from 1 species